rnacentral:rRNA from 1 species
CGCGAAUGGCUCAUUACAACAGCUAUAAUUUACUUGAUCUUGACACAAUCCUACUUGGAUAACUGUGGUAAUUCUAGAGCUAAUACAUGCAUUAAAGCUCUGACCUCACGGGAAGAGUGCAUUUAUUAGAACAAAACCAAGCGGCUUCGGCUGUUUCUGGUUGACUCAUAGUAACUGAGCUGAUCGCAUGGUCUUGCACCGGCGACGUGUCUUUCAAGUAUCUGCCGUAUCAACUUUCGAUGGUAGUGUAUCUGACUACCAUGGUGAUCACGCGUAACGGAGAAUAAGGGUUCGGCUCCGGAGAGUUCGCCUGAGAAAUCGCGAACACAUCUAAGGAAGGCAGCAGGCGCGAAAAUUACCCACUCUCAGCACGAGGAGGUAGUGACGAAAAAUAACGAGACCGUUCUCUUAUGAGGCCGGUCAUCGGAAUGGGUACAAUUUAAACCCUUUAACGAGUAUCUAUGAGAGGGCAAGUCUGGUGCCAGCAGCCGCGGUAAUUCCAGCU